AUCAACAGUGUGUGCCACGUGUUGAAUAACGCCGCCCUUUCACGCCCCGUUCCACUCCUCCCUUUUUUGCUCCACGCCACUUUUCUUACGUGUGCUGACGUGGCUGCCACAUGUCACAUAGUGCCCUAUUUUCAUGCCCCUCCUCACCGAAUUGUCUUACCAGUGGGUCAGUCGAUUCUAGCGUUGGAGCGGAGCAGUCGUGAUUCUACUUGUCUAGGCAUCGAGCGUUAGAGAAACUGAGCAGGUCGGAGAUGAAGUUUUCCUCAAAAGCAUUUUAAACUCUACCGAGACUGUAGCAAGAGGAAGGGUCUAGAGCUUGGACCCAAAUGAUCUAGUUGGUGGUAUAGAGAUUGGACUAGAAUGGUGUGAGGUAAACGUUCAAGUACCAAUAAAAAAAGAUGAAAACUUGGUAAGACCAUAUGGUUUAUUUUCUACAAUUCAAGAUUGUAUUGGUGCAUCCAUCACAUGGCCCUAUCCAAUCAUCUUGGUAGUCCAUGAGGAUUGAGGACGCAUGAUGACUCAAG